UCCCUGGUGGCCUAGCAGGUAAGGAUCUGGCAUUGGCACUGCUAUGGCUCGGGUUCAAUCCCUGGCCCAGGAA
rnacentral:tRNA from 1 species